AAUAGAUACCCGGGUAGUCCACGCCGUAAACGUUGGAUACUAGGUGUGGCGGUCUUACCAACGACUGCCGUGCCGAAGCUAACGCAUUAAGUAUCCCGCCUGGGGAGUACGGCCGCAAGGCUAAAACUCAAAGGAAUUGACGGGUCCCCGCACAAGCGGCGGAGCAUGCGGCUUAAUUCGAUGCAACCCGAAGAACCUUACCUGGGUUUGACAUCACGGGAAAAGCUGUAGAAAUACAGUGUUCAUUAGGGCCCGUGACAGGUGGUGCAUGGCUGUCGUCAGCUCGUGUCGUGAGAUGUUGGGUUAAGUCCCGCAACGAGCGCAACCCUUGUCCUAUGUUGCCAGCGGUUCGGCCGGGGACUCAUAGGAGACUGCCGGGGAUAACUCGGAGGAAGGUGAGGACGACGUCAAGUCAUCAUGCCCCUUAUAUCCAGGGCUGCACGCAUGCUACAAUGGCCGGUACAACGGGCAGCGAUCCCGCGAGGGUGAGCGAAUCCUAAAAAGCCGGUCCUAGUUCGGAUUGAAGUCUGCAACUCGACUUCA
rnacentral:rRNA from 1 species